UUUGAUAUAAAAGAGUGGCAAUGAGUUUCUUGCUACUUCGUCUCUUUACGAAGCAGAAGUAGAUUCAAUAAGAAAAAAUAUUUCUUUGACAUUCAUAAGUGUAAUUUCCUUGACCUACAUUAAUAAAGUGAUGUUCAUUUGAUUUGUUACGGUUUACAGUUAUAAAGCUAUGACGUCAUCUAAAAAUUGUCAAAUGGUGCAACCCAACCUCAUUGUCCCUACAACCACCGAACGGUUUCUGUUACAUCAUCACCGCCGUCCAUUCUCUUGCAACACCAUAGGAAUCACAGGAGCGUUGCCGCCCUUUUAGUGUACCCGCUUUUUUGAAAGGUCUCAUGUCGUAUCGUCCCGGACACACCGCACAAGGAAGCUCAUUCCACAGCUUGGUUGUACAUAGAAGAAAGUUCCAUGAAAACCGCACUGUGUUGGAACGCCAUACAUCCAGAUCGUGGUGACGAUAUAUAUCUAUGUGGCGUGUCAAGCAAAGGUCGAGUUCGGCGGCAGGAACCAGGUUAAACAGCUCUUCGGAACACUAAUACCGUAAAACAUAAAUGCCGUAUAAGACACACAAUAAAGCGAUAUCUCUACGCAACGCCAAGUGAUCCAGCCGUUCUCAGAGCACUGGAUUCCCGAAAAGUUUCCACCUCUUGUCACUUCUCGUUAUCGCUAACGGUAGUACACAUGCCUUAUUAAUCAUUUCUUUCACGUCCUAACAUCAGCAUAUUAAUAUCUAAUUUAAUAUUAGUUUAGUGUUAAAACUACGAAUGUUUACUUAGUCUAUAUAGAUAUACCUACUUCAAUAUACAUAAUAUAAUUUACAAAAAUACUCAAGUAUUCACUUCUAAACCUUAUUUUGCAUUUAACUGAUACAAUUUUAGAUAAUUUAUACGUCUAGAUAGAGCCAGAGGCCGGCAACGCUCCUGUGAUUCCUCUGGUGUUGCAAGAGAAUGUGGGCGGCGGUGAUCACUUAACACCAGAUGACCCGUACGCUCUUUUGUCCUCCUAUUCCAUAAAAAAAUCUCAAAUUCGUAGGUAUUACUUUAGCAAUAAAUGACAGAGUGCGGGCGGAUUCUAGUAAAAUUUGCGGUAGUGGGAGGUUAUAUCCGCUGGUGAAAUCGGGUGCUGGUAUAAACCUGAACAGCUCCCCUGAGCACUCGCGUGAUAAUUGUGUAUUAGAUGUCACAUCUUUAUGUAACUUAGAGAAUUCUUUGCUCAUCCGUACCACGAAGCCAGCAUGAAUAAGGUAGAAAGAAGGCAUUAUAACGAAUUCAUAUGGGAAUUCCUAUUAUUUACGAUGACUUAUAAUAUGUGGCACAAUACUGACGGAUAUAUAAAUAAUAGAUUUCUAUUGGUUGUUUAAUACUAUAUUAUGGUACAUGAGAGCUAAGUUGCUCAUUAGCGACACCUAUGACGCUCUCCAAAAGCGUCACAGGCUUGGUUGGUGUGUCAUCUUAUCUGAAUAUGUCGUCUUAAGCACAACAUCCCUAGUAUAUUAUAAUACAAGUGAGCUAAGUUGCUCAUUAUAUAUGAGGCUGUGGUUUGCAGCACGAGCCGUAGUCGAGGGCGUAAAUCCGCCGAGUGUCUAGUGAGCAACUUGCCUACAAGUUUCAUACUCACUUUAUCAACACACUUGCGAGGUUUUCCUCGUGUUUGUUUUUUAACAAACAUUUAUUUACCACACAGAAAUGGCGCGCAAGAUUUUUCUGCACGCGCCAAAUGUAAGGUUGAGAGCUUAUUUCAAAAUUAUAAGUUUAGUUAUUCAAAAUUUGAUAGUAAUAAAUGUUUUUUCGUCUUAACUAUGGACACGUAAUUCUUUAUUCCCAGAAUGUAAAUGGAUUUUCAGCGCCAUAAAACCUCAUUGUUGUUACAAAAUAACUGUAUUACCCGGUUAAAUUGAAAAUAUUCCGUAUACUCUCAUAUAAGUUGCAGUUAGGUGCUAACUUAACUUUGUAGGGAUAAUUCUAUUAUGCACUACUUAGUGUGCUAUAAUUCGGUUUAUGGCCUUAAGAACUAUUCAAUAAGGCUCUCUUUAUGAGCAAGUGUGUUAAAAAACACUUUAUCAUGUACAAUUUAGACUAUGGUUCUCAAUUCCAAAGGUCAUUUUACUGUGUCACAGAUUAAAAUUUAUUAAGUGGGAAUUUAAGUAUGUUUCACACUGCAAGCUGGAACGUCGACAUUUAUAUUUUUUGUUCCUUUUCCUUUUGUUUCUUCCUGCUUGAAAAAGAGUUAUCAAGGACAGUUUGAAAUGUGUUAUUCGAACAUAUGGCUGGUACGUUCAUUUAAGCAGGACAUUACUUCACCUGUUUUACUUAUGUUUACUUAUAGAUAAAAUUUAUAUAUGUUUUUUAUUGUUUCUAUGAUCAUAUUGUGUUUAGUAAAAUAUCAUAAAAAUCAUAGUUUUAUAAUUAGAUAGUUAAUUAUUAACGUUAUUUAAUUUAUUCAUGUAAAAUAAUGAUAAAAACGUGUGCUUCUAGAUAAUAAUGUCCAUAACGUCUGACUACCACUUUGCAAUAAAGUUAUUGAUGAUUAAAUAUUUCAUGAAUUAAAA